CCCUUAGAUGUCCUGGGCUGCACGCGCGCUACACUGAUGUGUCCAGUAAGCACCUAACCUCUUCCGAAAGGAACGGGUAACCUUUGCAAAGCACAUCGUGAUGGGGAUAGAUUAUUGCAAUUAUUAGUCUUGAACGAGGAAUUCCUAGUAAGCACAAGUCAUCAGCUUGUGUUGAUUACGUCCCUGCCCUUUGUACACACCGCCCGUCGCUCCUACCGAUUGAAUGUGCCGGUGAGCUCUUCGGACUGCGCGGUCUGCAGUUUCUGCGUUCCGUGCGGAAAGUUGCGCAAACCUUAACAUUUAGAGGAAGGAGAAGUCGUAACA
rnacentral:rRNA from 1 species